rnacentral:rRNA from 1 species
GGGCCCGCACAAGCGGUGGAACAUGUGGUUUAAUUCGACGCAACGCGCAAAACCUUACCUGGAUUUGACAUCCCGGGCUCACCUCAGAGAUGAGGUUUUCUCUUCGGAGACCCGGUGACAGGUGCUGCAUGGCUGUCGUCAGCUCGUGUCGUGAGAUGUUGGGUUAAGUCCCGCAACGAGCGCAACCCUUGUCCCUAGUUGCCAGCAUUGAGUUGGGCACUCUAGGGAGACUGCCGGUGAUAAGCCGGAGGAAGGUGGGGAUGACGUCAAGUCCUCAUGGCCUUUAUGUCCAGGGCUACACACGUGUUACAAUGGGGGUGACAAAGAGUGGCCAAGCUGCGAAGCUGCGCAAAUCUCAAAAAAACCCUCUCAGUUCGGAUCGCAGUCUGCAACUCGACUGCGUGAAGUUGGAAUCGCUAGUAAUCGC